UACAGAGGGUGCGAGCGUUGUUCGGAAUUAUUGGGCGUAAAGGGCGCGUAGACGGCGCGACAAGUCACCUGUGAAACCUCUGGGCUUAACCCAGAGCCUGCAGGCGAAACUGUCGUGCUGGAGUAUGGGAGAGGUGCGUGGAAUUCCCGGUGUAGCGGUGAAAUGCGCAGAUAUCGGGAAGAACACCCGUGGCGAAGGCGGCUCUCUGGGACGGUACUGACGCUGAGACGCGAAAGCGUGGGGAGCGAACAGG
rnacentral:rRNA from 1 species